rnacentral:rRNA from 1 species
GUCCACGCCCUAAAUGAUGCGAACUGGACGUUGGGAGCAAUUAGGCUCUCAGUGUCGAAGCUAACGCGUUAAGUUCGCCGCCUGGGGAGUACGGUCGCAAGACUGAAACUCAAAGGAAUUGACGGGGGCCCCGCACAAGCGGUGGAGUAUGUGGUUUAAUUCGAUGCAACGCGAAGAACCUUACCUGGCCUUGACAUCCACGGAAGUCUGCAGAGAUGCGUAUGUGCCUUCUGGAACCGUGAGACAGGUGCUGCAUGGCUGUCGU